CGACCGGCGCACGGGUGAGUAACACGUAUCCAACCUGCCGUCUACUCUUGGACAGCCUUCUGAAAGGAAGAUUAAUACAAGAUGGCAUCAUGAGUCCGCAUGUUCACAUGAUUAAAGGUAUUCCGGUAGACGAUGGGGAUGCGUUCCAUUAGAUAGUAGGCGGGGUAACGGGCCCACCUAGUCUUCGAUGGAUAGGGGUUCUGAGAGGAAGGUCCCCCACAUUGGAACUGAGACACGGUCCAAACUCCUACGGGAGGCAGCAUG
rnacentral:rRNA from 1 species